GCCGCCGCCUCCCGGGUGGGCGCCCUUCGCCGUGGACGCCGGCGGCCUAGGACGAGGGUUUCAUCACCUUACAUGGUUGUGAACCGAUGAACCUGUGUCCCCAUAAAAAGACGGACAACCCACUGUGUGAACUAUAGUUUGUGGACACAUUUAUAUUGGGUUCAUAGUGGCUUAAUGCACGCAGAUUCCUGCGAGUUCCCCUAAGUUCUUAGAGGACUGCUUUGCCUUUUGAAUCAGAGAGUUGCAAAGUUCGAUAAAGAAUGGCCCUUGUGGAUAAGCACAAAGUCAAGCGACAGCGAUUGGACAGAAUUUGUGAAGGUAUCCGCCCCCAGAUCAUGAACGGCCCCCUGCACCUCCGCCCCCUGGUGGCACUGCUGGAUGGCAGAGACUGCACCGUGGAGAUGCCCAUCCUGAAGGACCUGGCUACCGUGGCCUUCUGCGAUGCACAGUCCACUCAGGAAAUCCACGAGAAGGUGUUAAACGAAGCCGUGGGCGCCAUGAUGUACCACACCAUCACCCUUACCAGGGAAGACAUGGAGAAGUUCAAGGCACUGAGAGUGAUUGUGCGCAUCGGCAGUGGCUACGACAAUGUCGACAUCAAGGCUGCCGGCGAGCUUGGGAUCGCUGUCUGCAACAUCCCAUCUGCAGCUGUGGAAGGAACGGCUGAUUCCACCAUCUGCCACACCCUCAAUCUGUACUGGCGGAACACAUGGCUCUACCAGGCUCUGCGGGAAGGCACACGGGUACAGAGCGUGGAACAGAUCAGAGAGGUGGCCUCAGGAGCAGCCCGAAUCCGUGGGGAGACACUGGGCCUCAUUGGCUUUGGUCGCACGGGGCAGGCUGUUGCUGUUCGAGCCAAGGCCUUUGGAUUCAGCGUCAUAUUUUAUGACCCCUACUUGCAAGAUGGGAUAGAGCGGUCUUUGGGUGUACAGAGGGUCUAUACCCUGCAGGACUUGCUUUAUCAGAGCGACUGUGUAUCCUUGCACUGCAAUCUCAAUGAACAUAACCACCACCUCGACUUUACUAUUAAGCAGAUGAGGCAAGGGGCAUUCCUCGUGAAUGCAGCCCGCGGUGGCCUGGUGGAUGAGAAAGCCUUAGCCCAGGCCUUCAAAGAGGGCAGGAUACGAGGGGCAGCCCUUGACGUGCAUAAAUCGGAGCCCUUUAGCUUUGCUCAGGGUCCACUGAAAGAUGCACCGAAUCUCAUCUGUACCCCGCACACGUCCUGGUACAGUGAGCAAGCAUCCCUAGAGAUGAGGGAGGCAGCUGCCACGGAGAUCCGCCGAGCAAUCACAGGUCGCAUCCCAGAAAGCUUAAGAAACUGUGUCAACAAGGAAUUCUUUGUCACAUCCGCUCCUUGGUCAGUAAUAGACCAGCAAGCAAUUCAUCCGGAGCUCAAUGGUGCCACAUACAGGUAUCCACCAGGCAUCGUAGGCGUGGCUCCAGGAGCACUUCCUGCAGCCAUGGAAGGUAUCAUCCCCGGAGGCAUCCUGGUAACUCACAACCUCCCUACGGUGGCACACCCUUCCCAAGCUCCCUCUCCCAACCAGCCCACGAAACAUGGGGACAAUCGAGAGCACCCCAACGAGCAAUAGCAGAGAAUGCUGAAAGGUAAUCAUUCAGAUAAUCUUGGGACCAAGACAAGAGACGUGGAAAAUUGGAUGAACUAAGAGAAAAGGAUUAUGAAAGUCUUUUUAACUGAUUCUGAACAUAUGCAUCAUUGAUGUUGCAGUGUUAAAGCUACAAAAGCUAGAAAACUGAAGGUGUCAUCUGCUUACAGAAGCGCUGAAAGACUAGGAGUGAUUUAUUAACGACCAACUUCUGUUAUUGUGUAUUAAGUUUUUCAUCUGUGCAUCAAAUCACAAAGAAUAAAUAGAGCUUUUUUCCUUUAUCAGUUCCUUGGGCACAGCAGGUCCUGAGCAACUUGCUCUAGAAUGUUGCAUCAAGAGUUCCAAACACCAAAAUAAAGAAAUAUUGAGAGGAAAUCCACAUCUUAUGACUCUAGUCCCUUUGGUCGAUAGGGGCUCGUUACCUCUUUUUGCUAAUAGGAAGAUUAAAUUACUGCGAAAUGGGGAGAAAACUGUUUGCCUGUGUUAGACAUCU